UGAUGUUGCUAGGUGUAUCCUAUACAAAACCUUUGCCACCAAAAGAUUGUCAUUUGAGUGCCCUAACCGCCGAAGAAGCCGAAAAAACUUAACUUGGAGAUCCUCAAUCCUUGCCAAUGGAUCCAUCUUUUCAUAAUUAAUGACAUUAUUAGAUCUGUUAGAAUCUUCCUGAAGAGAGGGAUGAGGCUCAUUCUCCCGUGUGUCAUCAGAGCAGUAUGAUGUAUCUGGAAGUAGUGGUGGAACCUCUGAACAAUCCGUGUGAGCUCGGGCAUUAGAAUCUUCAUCCACAGGUCCCUCAGAGAAGAAACUGCCACUGCCAGACAACGAUCUAGACAUGGCCAAAGACUUGGACAAUAAUCGAGUAAAAACCCAAUCUCUAAUACUCUUCAUCCCAACAGAUAAUUAGAUAUUGAGAAUGCGAAAAUCUGUAUAGAAUCGAAAACCCGCG
rnacentral:misc_RNA from 1 species